GAUCCAGAAGUUAAGGAAGUGCUCAGAGAACAAUAAGGCACAGAAAAAGAUCUCAGGACCUGCCUCAACAGGACUCCCAUCGGCCAAAUCUGGGAAAACCUGAACAUCAAAAACAAAUGGGGCACACAGGACACAGGAAGCCUGGUCACACCAAAUGACAGGAAGCUGAUCCCAGGAGGCAAAGGGAAAUAGAUGCCCAAUCCUUCAGGCUGGUCACUAAGGAACCCCUGAUGGCCAUGUCCUGCCCCUGGCCCUUAAAACAUUACAUGUGGAUGAACACCAUUAUGAAUGACAACAAGAUGAUCAGCAAACACCUUAUUUUGUUUCUACUAUAAAAUGGGGCUGCAUCUCCUUUGCUACCUUCACACCUUUCAGAUGAUUCUGUCUGACACUUGUGAGUACUCACCAUGUGCCAAAUACUGCACCCAACUCUCUCUCUCUCUCUGUAUCACCUCAUGGACAUCUGCCUAGUGACUCUGCAAGAUAGGAACUAUUUCUACCUUCAUUCGAAGAUAAGAAAACUCAGACUCAAAAUGUGUAUCAUCUUGCUAGAGUAAAGCAGUAAAUGAUAGGUCUGGAAUUCAAAAUUGGGCUUUCAGACUCCACCUGCUGACCUAGUUACAUAGUGCAUGAGUGUAUUACUCAGGGUUCUCCAGAGAAACAGAACCAAUAGGAUACAUGAUAGAUACACACACACACACACACACACACACACACACACACACACACAAAUUGGCUUACAGGGCUGUGGAGGUCAAGAAGUCCCAGGAUCUGCUGUCUAUACACUGGAGAAAGGAGAAAGCCUGUGGUGUAAUUCAGUCCAAUUCCAAAGGCCUGAAAAACAGAGGAAGUAAUAGUGUAAGCAAGUCUCUAAGUCCAAUGAUGCCAGAACCAGAAUCUCCAAUGUCUGAGAGAAGAAGAAUAUGGAUGGCCCAGCUCAAAGAAUGGGAGAGGGC